rnacentral:lncRNA from 1 species
GAAGAAAUAGGGUGUUUGGGAUUUUGUGUUUUUGGAAACCUGGGAAAAACAGGGAAUUUUGGAAAAAGAAACUGAAAGUAAACUUUUUAAGGUAUGUGACAUAUUUUCCCACAGAGUGAUCAGAGGCUUGUUUCAAUUUGUGCAAAUGUUGGUUUAAGGAAGCACAUGAACAUGGGAGCAGAAGUUUCAGAAUUAAACGUUGGGCUCUUCCAGAGCCCGACUCUGCCUAGAGAAACCAAAAGGAAAAGCUUGAGCAACAUCACCUUUCCCGAGACUGUAUCAACAACUGCAUUGCUCAACUUGCCUUACACCCGUGGACAGAGCUGCAUGGUUCAUCCUGCCAAGCUGAUGUAUUUAUGGUGUGUGGAGCUCUCUGCACCCACAGACGGCAGGCUUACGCUGGAAUCCAAGAGAAAGUAA